GCAUGAGUAAGCUAAAAUAGUGCUCUUAUAUAGUUCUUUACAAUUC
rnacentral:sRNA from 1 species